rnacentral:lncRNA from 1 species
CUAGAAGGGCGGGAAACUUGAGAACCACGGGCGCGGGAGCCUGGCGGGGACGCAAGCCCGGAACUGGCGGAGGGGUGGGCAGGCGCAUGCGCGCGCGCAGCUGAAACGCCGGCUGAUGAAACUGACAAAGGCGAGAGCGCGCAGCAGCCCACAGCAGCCGAGUUCGCGCCGCCGGUAGGUGCUGCCAUGCCAGGGGGCGGGAUCGUGGAGCGCCUCGCAGAACCGCACGAAAGCAAAAACAAAGCCAUCUCUCCGGAGCAGAAAUAGAACAGACGUGGCCGGGGAAAGCCAAAUAUUUGUGAGAUGAUGUGAACAAAGGGGGAAAAGUCAAUCCAGGGAAGUUUGAGUUUCUGGUUGGAGGCUUCAGCGGCUCUGAUCGCUGGAUACUUUAAGAGAACAUCCUUUGCCCCCGCUCUCCCUCUCUCCCCGAAGAAAAAUAAAUCCUUGGCAAAAUGAGACUUGACGGCAUGAAAAGAAGGUCUCCAGACUGUCCCAGCUGGCGCGGGCGGGGCCGGGGCCGAGGUGCCGCUUGGUGACACUGCAGCCGCGGCUCAGCACUGUCACCCAGAAAGGCCCGCCGACGUCUGUAUGCAGGGAACGUGGCUCUUAGCAGAGCCUGGACAGGCGCAGGGCCAAGGAAGUCUUUGUUUUUGUUUCUUUCUCUAGCCCUUCCUGCCAAUACAUCAGGGAUAUAACUCCUUGGUGUUUCUGCCUUACAAUCGCUCCUUAUACCCCACCCAGAUCCUCAGCACUGCAGCUCCCACUGCCACUGCCCGCUGUGAGUCACCUCCCCCUCUCCCUUUUUUAAACCAAACGGCAAGGCCAUAUUGCAGUUAUCCAUAAAUGGAAAAGCAAGAAGCCACCAAUACCUGUUUGAGAAGAUGGCAUUUUAAUUAGCACACUCCGGCUGCCAUAAACCCGGGCUCCUGCCCCACCUCUCCCCCCGCCCCCUCCUCCCCCCUCCCCCGCCGUGCCCUCUCUCAACCUCCCCGCUCACCCCCAUCUAUGUAAAAAAGCCAUAAAGCCUCUCUCCAAUCGCUUUCUCGGAGGGAGUUUUUGCAACCCCCACAACACAGGUUGAUUGGAAAGGUCUCUCUCCCGGAUAACAACAAUUCAAUGUGCCUUGACAUUUUAAUAGCCUGCCGUCCUGGUGAACACAAUCGAGCAAGGCAGUGAAGCAAACAUCAUUAGGUGGCUGGACUCAGACACAUCACGCUCCAGUUUGGGUUCCAAGGUGCUUCUCUCUGGAUUUUCACCUGCCUUGCCAAAAAUGAUUGAUUACGCUGGGCCAACUGGGUGUCCGGCAAUACCCAACAAAUGACUUUGGCCCCUAACAGCAGGUCUUGGCCAGACAGAAAUCAAUAUUUCACCAUUAAAAUCUAUCAAAGAAGAGUUAAGGCACCAUCUGUCCCUGCCGCCUCUCUAUGUUAAAAUCCUGGAUAUGGAGUCCGAGAUAUGGAAGGCCAAUUGGCUGCCAAAGAAAUGGGAGAGACAACACGUGCGGUGGCUUCAAAGGAGGAGGGAGAGUUGAGUUUAAACUAAUGAAGUAAAGGCAGGGAUGGGAGACUGAAAGGAAGGAAGACGCUGACACUUCUUCAGUGUGAUUGUAUGCCAUACACUGUGCUGGGUGCUGUUAAUACAACAACGCUUCUGGCUAUGUACUGUUUAACCCCAUUAGAAAUAAAG